rnacentral:lncRNA from 11 species
AGGAUACUAAGCAAUUUAAAUAUAUUGGAUUCUCUAUGUAUGCCUGCAGCCUGACGGCGCGCUACUCUCAAGUAGACCGGGCGUUGUGUUCCGUUUCCCUGCCAAGACUGGACUGCAUUUUGGUUCCACCACGACCAACCUUGCCUUGCCUUGCCUUGAUUCCCUGCAUUGGACAUUGAACCUGGAACUUUCUUGAGAG